rnacentral:tRNA from 1 species
GACUUAUAGCUCAAUGGUUGAGCAUCGGCAUUGUUUAUCGAUAAUACAGGGUUCAACUCCUGUUGAAGUUA